AGCGUGCACACUGCCUGUUUUCUGAGCGCGUCUUAAAGAUCUGCAGGCACAGGCCGCAUUGCAUGAGGAGGGGGAUAAGCCCAGUCAUGCGGCUGGUCUGCCGGCGAGCCAGGAGCGCCGGGCUGCAGCUCGAGGCGUCGAGGCGUUUGGAAACGGAGACCACUGCAGGCUGUUGUCCCGGCCCCAUCCCAGUGCCAGAGGUCGCUUUGCACUGCAAGCUGGUGCAUGGGCGCCCAGUGUGAGCACAGCUUGGAGAUGAGGGCUCCCAUUCAUUUCCAGACUGAGUGCAAACUGUUGCUCUCGUGCUCCCGUCAGACAGAGCUGCACAUUGUGUCCAGUUUCAGACACUGAGAGCACGUUAUUCAAAAUUUAAGGAACAAAUUUCUUCCCCGUCGAGCAGACUGUGGUAAAGUAAGAGCGUCGCACAGGAAAUAGAAAUGAUGAUGAUGCUGUUUUCCACAGAGAAGCUAUCGGAGCUCUAGUGAGAAACUGAGAGAGCUCAUCAUGAAAAACAUCAGUCAGUCUUCAGACAUACAGACGGAGGAAGCGAAGGAAAGGGUUUCCCUGACUCGGCUCUUCCAGAUGCAGGACCCUGGACUCACCUUC